AAUAAGUGCAGCCAUGAGUUUUCGCGCUCAACUUUGAUCAUCCGUCUUAUUUAAAAUUUUUUUAUAAUUAGCAAUUUUGUUGUUAUAAGAUAAUAAAACAUGAAUAGUACUUUACUCGUGACUUAUGUUUUUAAUUUUUUUUAAAAUUUUUCAAAUAAGACGAAUAAUUAAAGUUGGACACUGAAAACCAUGGCUGCACUUAUU
rfam:Oryza sativa Japonica Group DNA, chromosome 7, cultivar: Nipponbare, complete sequence.